rnacentral:ncRNA from 1 species
UAAUUAAGUUUGGUUAAUAAGAAAAUUUUCUCUAAAUUCUUUAUAAUUUUAGCCAGAAUUGAAAAAUUAGAAGAUAAAGUUUAUUUAAUAAUUAAUAAUUAUUGAGAUUUAGAGAAUUCCCUAGUUAAUUUUGUGCCAGCAACAGCGGUUAUACAAAAAGGGAAUUUUUGAAUUAAGAAUUUAAUUUUUACUUUUAAAAACUCUAAUUAAAAAAUAAGGUGAAAUUUAUUUUUAUUUUUAUUUUUAUUUUAAAAUUAAAAUUCUAUUAUAAACUAGGAUUAGAUACCCUAUUAUUAAGAAAAUAACAUUGUUAGUAUAUAAAUAUUAUGAAAACAAAAAAUUAUGGCGGUAUUUUAAGCUUUUCAGAGGAAUUUGCUCUUUAAUGGAUAAAACACCUAAAUCUUCCUAGAAUUGGUUAAGCAGUUUGUAUACCACUAUUUAAGCAAUAAUUUAUUAUUAUUUCUAAAAUUUAUUCAAAUGAAAAAAGUUAAGUCAAGGUGCAGCAUAAAUUUUAGAAUGAAGUGAUUUACAUUUCUUUUAAGAAAUUUAGUAUGAAAAUUAUUUUUAGGAUUUGAUAGUAAAAUUUUAAUAGAAAGAAAAUUUGAAUUAAGCUCUAAAAUAUGUACAUAUCGCCCGUCGCUCUUUAUUAAAGAUAAGUCGUAACAAAGUUAAAGUACUGGAAAGUGCUUU